rnacentral:rRNA from 1 species
GAUGAACGCUGGCGGCGUGCCUAAUACAUGCAAGUCGAGCGAACAGACGAGGAGCUUGCUCCUCUGACGUUAGCGGCGGACGGGUGAGUAACACGUGGAUAACCUACCUAUAAGACUGGGAUAACUUCGGGAAACCGGAGCUAAUACCGGAUAAUAUAUUGAACCGCAUGGUUCAAUAGUGAAAGACGGUUUUGCUGUCACUUAUAGAUGGAUCCGCGCCGCAUUAGCUAGUUGGUAAGGUAACGGCUUACCAAGGCAACGAUGCGUAGCCGACCUGAGAGGGUGAUCGGCCACACUGGAACUGAGACACGGUCCAGACUCCGACGGGAGGCAGAAGUAGGGAAUCUUCCGCAAUGGGCGAAAGCCUGACGGAGCAACGCCGCGUGAGUGAUGAAGGUCUUCGGAUCGUAAAACUCUGUUAUUAGGGAAGAACAAAUGUGUAAGUAACUAUGCACGUCUUGACGGUACCUAAUCAGAAAGCCACGGCGAACUACGU